rnacentral:rRNA from 1 species
ACGCUCGACACCUACGGAGGCAGCAGUUGGGAAUAUUGGACAAUGGAGGAAACUCUGAUCCAGUGACGCCGCGUGAAGGAAGAAGGUCUUCGGAUUGUAAACUUAUUUUGUCAGGGAAGAAAAAAUAGACUGUACCUGAAGAAAAAGACACCGGCUAACUACGUGCUAGCAGCCGCGGUAAUCUGAGCGGGCUGGCAAGGC